rnacentral:lncRNA from 1 species
GUUGGAUCUAAAACCAGAUGUCUUUGAAGAAACUAUCAGGUCUGGUAAGAAUAAGAGGAAACAAAAUGUUAUUGGCAUGCUCAAUAAUGAUAAAGCCAAGAUGUCACCUGCCAGUACAAUGAAGAGGGACUGGGGUCUUGGCACUAAAAGGUGCAACUGAAGGAACAGAGAAACUGUGUAAUUGUAAAACCUCCUUGUGGCCCCACAUGGCUCAUACUCAAAUGAUUCCAGUGUCUAUGGCCUGAGAAGUGCUUCAUGAAAUGAGGAACAGUGCCUCAAGUCAGAGAUUGGCAUGGUGAGUCGCCGGGAGGUGGAAAAGAGGCACAGCUUCAUUGAAGCUACAGUUGGCUGCAAGGAACCAUUUCAAAUCAUCUUAGUUCUACGGGGCCAUUCAGGUGGCAAAGGCCCAGGUAACAUUUGAUCAAGUUGCUACAGGGCUUGGACCUACUUUUAUUGCCCCUUACUUUUCCCACUAACAUUUUUGCUUGAAAUAUCGAUGUUUUUUUGGUGCAGCAAAACUCUUUUCCCACAGCUAAAUUGAAGUAGGGCAUAUGUGCUUCCCUCACCUCGCUCCCAGUCCCUCUUGACCCCGAAAUGGUCUAGCAGCCUGUGCUUUGUUAAACUGAAAAUGUGUAGAAAUUUUUAUAGAGAUAUUCAGCUAUAUAAAUAGCUUUGAAAUUUGUCAUAACUUUAAAAACAGGUCAAAAAGGAAAUUGAACAGCUAGUGAGUUUCUGUCUUAGUCCGUUUUGUGCUGCUAUAACAGAAUACCAUAAACUAGGUAAUUUAUAAACAAUAGAAGUUUAUUUGUCUCAAUGGCCAACAAGCAUAUGGAAAAAUGUUCAACAUCACUAAUUAUCAGGGAAAUACAAAUCAAAACCACAGUGCGAUACCACGUAACUUCUGCAAUAAUGGUCAUAAUCAAAAAAUAAUAAUAAAUAAAUAGAUGUUGGCAUGGAUAUGGUGAAAAGGGAACACUUUUACUGGGUUGGUGGGAAUGUAAACUAGCACAACCACUAUAGAAAACAGUAUGGAGACUCCUUAAAGAACUAAAAGUAGACCUACCAUUUGACCUAGCAACCCCACUGCUAUGUAUCUGCUCAGAAGUAAAGAAGUCAUUAUACAAAAAAGACACUUGUUACAUGCAUGUAUAUAGCAGUACAAUUGCCCAAAUGCCCAUCAAUCAAUGAGUGGAUAAAAAAUGUUAUAUACAUACAUAUAUGUGUGUGUAUAUAUACAUAUACAUAUACACACACACACACAUACACACACACACACACACACACACACAUAUACCAUGGAAUACUGCUCAGCCAAAGAAAGGAAUGAAAUAAUGGGAUUUGCAGCAACCUGGAUGGAAUUGGAGGCUAUUAUUCUAAGUGAAGUAACUCAGGAAUAGAUAACCAAACAUACAUGUUCUCACUCAUAUGUGGGAACUAAGCUAUGAGAAUGCAAAGGCAUAAGAAUGAUAUAUUGGAGUUUGGAGACUCAAAGGAAAGAGUGGGGGAGAGGGAGGGAUAAAAGACUACACAUUGGGUACAGUAUACAAUGCUUGAGUGAUGGGUGCAACAAAAUCUCAGAAAUCCCCACUAAUGAGCAUAUUCAUGUAACAAAAUACCAUCUGUUCCCCAAAACUUAUUGAAAUAAAAAAUAAAAAAUUAAUGAUAAUAACAAUAAAAAGAAGUUUAUUUGUCUUAUGUUUCUGGAGGCCAGGAAGUCCAAGAUCAAGGGGUUGCAUCUAGUGGGGGUCUUCUUGCUGAGUCAUAACCUGGCAGAAGACAUCACAUGAAGAGAGAAUGGAUGAGAGCCAGCAAGCAAGAGAGGGCCAAACUUGCUUUUAUAACAAACCCAUUCCUGACAUCAUGAACUUACCCCUGCCAUAAUGACAUUAAUCCAUUCCAGGGGGCAAAGCUCUCAUGACCUAAUCACCUCUCAAAAGUGCCACCUCUCGAUGCUGUUGCAUUGGGGAUUAAGUUUCCAACACAUGAACUCUGGGGAGAUGCAUUCAAACCUUAGCAGUUUAA